GAAGGCGGGCUGGAAUCUCUCGGGGGUUACAGCCUUGCUGAAUUAUUCACCCUUGUCUUUUGCGUACUUCUUGUUUCCUUGGUGGGUUCGCCCACCACUAGGACAAACAUAAACCUUUUGUAAUUGCAAUCAGCGUCAGUAACAAAUUAAUAAUUACAACUUUCAACAACGGAUCUCUUGGUUCUGGCAUCGAUGAAGAACGCAGCGAAAUGCGAUAAGUAGUGUGAAUUGCAGAAUUCAGUGAAUCAUCGAAUCUUUGAACGCACAUUGCGCCCUUUGGUAUUCCAAAGGGCAUGCCUGUUCGAGCGUCAUUUGUACCCUCAAGCUUUGCUUGGUGUUGGGCGUCUUGUCUCUAGCUUUGCUGGAGACUCGCCUUAAAGUAAUUGGCAGCCGGCCUACUGGUUUCGGAGCGCAGCACAAGUCGCACUCUCUAUCAGCAAAGGUCUAGCAUCCAUUAAGCCUUUUUUCAACUUUUGACCUCGGAUCAGGUAGGGAUACCCGCUGAACUUAAGCAUAUCAAUAAGCGGAGGAA
rnacentral:rRNA from 1 species